GAUUUCUGACUUGUAGCACCAGCUCCAUCCUUUUGGGUGCGUAGUUGGCUGCUCGGGUCAUCCUUCCGAUGAGUACCACUGCCCUUCAUUGGGUUGGUGGUGCGCCAUCGGAUCUUUUACUUUGAAAAAAUUAGAGUGUUCAAAGCAGGCUUGAAGCUGUGAAUACAUUAGCAUGGAAUAAUAAGAUAAGACUUUGGUUUUAUUUUGUUGGUUUCUAGAACUAGAGUAAUGAUUGAUAGGGAUAGUUGGGGGUGCUAAUAUUCAACGGCCAGAGGUGAAAUUCUAUGAUUCGUUGAAGAUUAACUCAUGCGAAAGCGUU
rnacentral:rRNA from 1 species